rnacentral:rRNA from 1 species
CCGGCACGGGUGAGUAACACGUAUCCAACCUGCCGUCUACUCUUGGACAGCCUUCUGAAGGAAGAUUAAUACAAGAUGGCAUCAUGAGUUCACAUGUUCACAUGAUUAAAGGUAUUCCGGUAGACGAUGGGGAUGCGUUCCAUUAGAUAGUAGGCGGGGUAACGGCCCACCCAGUCUUCGAUGGAUAGGGGUUCUGAGAGGAAGGUCCCCCACAUUGGAACUGAGACACGGUCCAA